UUUAGUGCUUUGAGCCGGCACGGGUAUCGUGGCGGACCAUCUAUACUGACAGUUGCUCCUCCAAAGGUUGAACCUAACUGGACUUGGUCCACUGGGAAAGAUUGCAACGAGAAGGAAGUUCUAACCGAGUCUUUUGAAGAGCGGGAACGCACAAGGGCUGCAGUAACUGAAGGGGAGAAGCUUAACGGUGUGAUGAACCCCCAACCAAGGCAGAUCGAGAAAGAGAAGGAUGCUUCAUUCUCACAGAAGGAGAAGUGGAAGAGAGAUCAUGGGCAGGCCAGCAGGGGUAAGAACUACGUCGAGGAGGAGAAGCGGCUCCUGAGGGGGAGGGGCGUCUACUCUGGCUUUGAUACUUGA
rnacentral:rRNA from 1 species